CAGCCGCCGCGGUAAUACGUAGGGGGCGAGCGUUGUCCGGAAUCAUUGGGCGUAAAGCGCGCGCAGGCGGUCCCUUAAGUCUGAUGUGAAAUCUUGCGGCUCAACCGCAAGAGGUCAUUGGAAACUGGGGGACUUGAGUGCAGGAGAGGGAAGCGGAAUUCCAUGUGUAGCGGUGAAAUGCGUAGAGAUAUGGAGGAACACCAGUGGCGAAGGCGGCUUCCUGGCCUGUAACUGACGCUCAGGCGCGAAAGCGUGGGGAGCAAACAGGAUUAGAUACCCUGGUAGUCCACGCCGUAAACGAUGAGUGCUAGGUGUUGGAGGGGUUUCCCCUUCAGUGCUGGAGCUAACGCAUUAAGCACUCCGCCUGGGGAGUACGGCCGCAAGGCUGAAACUUAAAGGAAUUGGCGGG
rnacentral:rRNA from 1 species